GGUUGUCCACAGUCAGUUACAGAUCAAACUCCCAGUUCUGCUCUUUCCUCCUCCUCACUACUGUGCUUGAGUAGUCUUAA
rnacentral:sRNA from 1 species